CGAUAUACACAGAGAACCACGUGGAGGAAAAGCACGCGAGUUUGGAGCGGGUGGAGCAGGAACAGAGGUGGACUGGAAUGUCACACGACGGGGCAGCUGGAAGGGCACCACUGAGUUCAGUACUUCAAAAUUGCCGUGCUCUACCUCUCCCCAGUGCACAAAAACACUCUCCACACCAAGCUGCUGCUGCUGGGGGAUGGAGGGAUGGCGUCAGCGAUUCAAGACUGUUUUUCCUACCUGUUCAGCACUUCUUUCAGCGAUAUGAAGUUAAAUCCAGGUGGAGUUUCGCUCUUGUUGUCCAGGCUGGAGUGCAGUGGCAUGGUCUCAGCUCACUGCAACCAAAGCUCCCGGGUUCAAGUGAUUCUCCUGCCUCAGCCUCCUGAGUAGCUGGGAUUACAGAGCAGCAAGAGGGAUCUUAUAAAAAUAUGACCAGAUCACAUCCUUCAACACUUCCCUGUUACCCUUACAAUAAAAUUCAAACUCUUCACCAU
rnacentral:lncRNA from 1 species